rnacentral:lncRNA from 1 species
AUAAUCUAAUUUCACUGAGCAAUGGGAGACUCGAGAGGAUGAUAGGUGACGUCAUAGGGUCACAUUUCUAUUACCGUAGGAGGCUAUCUCGAGCAGAUCUUAGGUCAAACAGAUCACAGCACAUGAUGGAGAUGAGAUCGAGUGGUCUGGCUCGACACCCAUGUUUACCCAUCCAUGAGUAGUCGGGUAUUUGCCUCAAGAC